UACGUAGGGUGCGAGCGUUGUCCGGAAUUAUUGGGCGUAAAGAGCUUGUAGGCGGUUUGUCGCGUCUGCUGUGAAAAUCCGGGGCUCAACCCCGGACUUGCAGUGGGUACGGGCAGACUAGAGUGUGGUAGGGGAGACUGGAAUUCCUGGUGUAGCGGUGAAAUGCGCAGAUAUCAGGAGGAACACCGAUGGCGAAGGCAGGUCUCUGGGCCACUACUGACGCUGAGAAGCGAAAGCAUGGGGAGCGAAUAGGAUUAGAUA
rnacentral:rRNA from 1 species